UCUUAUCUUUCUUUCUGGAAGAAGAACGAAGGAGGACGCAUGGAGCUUGAAUGCGCUCACACCAAGAUUAUUUUUUAAAUGAGCAAUAACUUGUUGAAUUCCCCGUUCAUUCAACAGCUUUCAUGGACUUGAAGGAGAUUGAAGGUUCCAGACGUCCUUUGUUGUACUGAGGUUUAAUGUUUUUUGGGGAUAGAUAGUGCUGGCUAUGCCGCUAGUGUACUGAGAUCUGAUUGGCUGGCAGGGUACUGAAGAUGCUAUAAAAGAUCUACAUCAGGGGUGUCACUCAUUCCAUGGUGGGCCUAGUGUCUGCGGGUUUUGCCUUUUCAAUUGAGGCCUAGACAACCAGGUGAUGGGAGUUACCUUAAUUCAUGGAGUAUAAGGGAGGAGCGAAAACCCGCAGACACUCGGCCCUCCGUGGAAUGAGUUUGACAUGUGAUCUACGUCUUGUUUUUGAGUUAAUGGGCCAGGAUGGGGAUUGAAGACUGAUGUAAAUCUUGCCAUGUGAUUGGCUUGUUGAUCCAGUACGUGGAGUAUGAAGACUUAAAUCUCAACCCUAUGGUGAGUGUCUCCGAGGGCUGAAAGUAGCCAAUUGUUUUCCUUCAGUAGUCUUCUGCUGGAGUUGUGAUGACUUCUCACUUUUGCCGUUUACCCAUCUGACUAAAUUGGGGUGCUGAGACUGACUAACUGAACUGCCAAUAUUAGCAUUGAUCAUUAUAGGUAGACACUGAGAUAUUGUAUAGAUGGUGGGUCAAUUUCCACAACUAACUGUUGAAGCGUGAGCAUCUCGCUUAGCUCAAUAUCUGCGGUGCUCCUUGUGGCAGCGGCAUUUUGCAGAGUCUACCUUCAAUCAUUAAACUUGCAAUCCAUGACUAAGGUUUGAGACUUAUGUUAUUUCAUCAUGCAGGAUUGUUGGACCUGCAGUAGGGGAGUUUUUUUUCUCUCCUGGUUUGUGAGGUGUUGACUAAGCUUUUUCUACCCAUGUUCAGUAAUUUUUACUGGAAUUCUGAUGCCUUUUUUGACAUUUCUGCUGAUUUUACACUGCUGAAAAGCCAUUAAUCUGAAUUACCAGCGUUAUAACUAAACCCACGAUGGUAGAAAGUUAAGUAAUAUCUCAUUAGACUUAAUCAUUACACUAUCAAUGAAGAAACUGGUAAUUUUACUUAUUUUUGGCGAGUUUAACUGAUUUCUUCUAUUCAUUGACACAAUUCAAGGUUUGGAAGGCGAAUGUGACCCUUGAGACCUAAACUAUCACCCUAUUUUCACUUGCCUGUCCAAAAAAGCACAACCGUGGUCUCAAUGAGACUCCCCUGCCUAAAUUUAAGGUUAAAUGUAUUUUUAAUCUGAUUUUAUUCUGCCCUGUUAUGUGUUCAAAGUUAUGAAAUAAAAUAUUAUUUUGUGCUACA